CAGCAGCCGCGGUAAUACGGAGGGUGCAAGCGUUAAUCGGAAUUACUGGGCGUAAAGCGUGCGUAGGCGGUUCGUUAAGUCUGUUGUGAAAGCCCCGGGCUCAACCUGGGAAUGGCAAUGGAUACUGGCGAGCUAGAGUGUGUCAGAGGAUGGUGGAAUUCCCGGUGUAGCGGUGAAAUGCGUAGAGAUCGGGAGGAACAUCAGUGGCGAAGGCGGCCAUCUGGGACAACACUGACGCUGAGGCACGAAAGCGUGGGGAGCAAACAGGAUUAGAUACCCCAGUAGUCCCUGUCUCUUAUAC
rnacentral:rRNA from 1 species